CCCAAGGCAAGUCCUACAGGAUGACCUCACAAGAACCAAAGUCCUACAGGAUGACCUCACAAGUCCUACAGGAUGACCUCACAAGAACCAAAGAUUUCAGACCAAAGGGACCAGUGAUGGGGAAACCAGUGUCUGAUUUAGCCGUGGGUCCACAGUUAGGAGACUCAACUCUCAGAGGCUGAGGAGUCAAUGCUAACAAUGGAUCUGAGGCAUUUCCGGGCUUGAUUUGCCGUGAGAGUCCACAUUUAACAUCAAUGGCUCCUUUGGAAAUCUUCCCUUUCAAGGUCUCACUGCCCAGAAUUAGAUCCCGGAGAAUGAGGUUAUGCGUCUUUUCGGGUUCUUUCGAAUGACUGUCAACUAUGUGUUCUCAAGAUGGCAGUUAUCUACAGCUCCAUCCUCAUCGUCCUUGUGAGGUUGAAAUUAAAAAGAGUUCGUUCAGCCACCUGCACUUAAACCACUGCCUGCUUUGGUCACAUCCAUUCCGUUCAGAGACACAGUGACUAAAGAGUGCUGUGACCAAUGCUGAGUCAGGUGUUUAUGCUUGCAUGAAGUCCUAUCUGCUAAUAGUGGGGAAGGGAUGGAGUCAGUGGAAGAGGCGAAUGCUGGGAAAGGUCACAAUAAUCUGCAAAUUCCC
rnacentral:lncRNA from 1 species